UUUCUUCUAUUGCUGCGCUCUAUUCAGAUUUAGAUCCGCUCGCUUCCUUCCUCUUUCUUCUAUUGCUGCUACAGCUCUAUUUGGAUUUAGCUCGUUCUGUUACAUGAUAUCCACGUUAGGUGUUUGUUCAUUUGCUUUUGUUAACUGUUCUAGGUUCUGGUCCCGUCAAUUUUUUAUCCUCUCGUUUUUUCCCUCUCUAACUACUCCACAAGACUCAAGUUGUAGCAGCAGAUUUCAUCCAGUUUUUAUUAGCGUGGCUAAAUAUCAAACCUGAGCUCCCUGGACAUGAUGGUGUUCUACUGUUUUUCUGAACUUUGUCUAUUGUGUGCAGUUCAGCCACAGAGCAUGAUGCAUCUUGCUGAAGAAGCAGCCUGCAUCAUGCUGAGUUCGCUCCAUGCUGAGUUCACACCAAUAAAUAUAGCACGGCAUGUUGAUGAAUGGAGUUACAGACAUGUUGCACAAAUUGUAUUAGUAAUCAUUGCUACUUCUUGUUUUACAUGUUCCUACCAUAAUUAUGAGCAGAGAUGGAACUAAGCUUUCAAUGUUACCAUUGCUCAACUCCAUUUGAUCUCUAUCGUAGAGUAGACAAUAAUCAACAGGAGAACAGUAAUCACCUCAAAAGACCUGUGAGUAGACAUCAGUCUUGGGAUAGACUUUCUUGGGUUUCCUAUUUUCACUCAGAGUGAUUAAAGGGGAGUUUUGGGACGGCCUUCCUAUUUUCACUUUGAUUCCAAAAAUAACGAUUACCGCUUGUGGUCGCAGUGCAGCGAAAUGAUUAUCGCUGAAGUGUUGUUAUCUUCUCAAAAAGCACAUUGUACAUUCUUCUCUUGUUUUCCAUUGUAGUCCCACUUUGACGUUUGAAUCUAAUACUCAGCAUUUAUUUUGCAGCUCGACUGAAGUAUUGUUCUAGCGCUUCAACAUUCAAAUGUAUUGGAAAUUUUAAUCUCUGCAUGCCUAUAUAACUUUCUACUACAUAAUAAGAAUACAUGACAAUAAUUCUAAUAUAUGAUAAAUUUUAUCUCUGUGUUCAGAUAAAACAACCAAGGACAAGAAACAUCUAUCUGCAGUGAUCCGGAAAUCGCAACCUGUGGUAUCUCUAUGCGAUCCAAUUGAGGAUCACAUCAUGACAGUAGAUAACGAUCUCCUGUCUUACAAAGUGCUGCCCCAACAUGCUGCUCUAAACAUAUUGACAUUGGCAUAAUGUUCUUAGCACCUGAAGAAGACAGUCAGGUCAGCGGUAGGAGAGUAUGUCGGGGAUGCAAACGCAAGGGGAUUGUACGCAAGGGUGGAGACGCUGGAAACCGACAGGGUGACAAUGCGGAGGGAAAUUGCGGCGCUGGGUGCGGAGGGGGUGCAGCUGGUGGUGGCCAGGGAGAUGGUGUGGCGGCUGUGCUGGGAGAUGGUUGAUGAGUAGAGAGCCAUUGUGAAGAAGUCAGCUGUCCCAGCAGGUAGCUUCUCGGUGCUCGAGAUAUGCAAGGAGUUCGUCCGUCAGCCACGGAAGUCAGGGAGCAAAGUUGGUCGAAGGGUGCGGGUGCCCUCGCAUCUUCAAGUUCCCGAACCGGCGAAGGCGAAGGCUCAUUACCUGGGCCUCGCGAGCGAAGCCCAGGUUCGCAUCCCGCAUCAUUUGGAGCAAGCGAAGGCGUGAGCUGACCUUCGCCGGGAGGCGAGGGCUGCCUGGCAUGCGAUCGGGCGAAGAAGGCUUCAGCAUCCUUCGAAGGGAUGGUCAGCUCGACACAGUGGGCUCGACUACGGUCGUCCUGGGUACUGUUGUAAUUAUAGGAUCAUGCUCAUUUGUACCAUAAUGCCCCCGGAUAUUUCGAGAAUGUAGCAGGUUAGGGGGUAAGAUAUGUAAAUGGAACCCGUGAUCGCCGAGUACGGGAUAUAAAUAGAGCCACAGUGUAACCGUAAGGGGUAAUCAAAAACUGUUUCGCGUUCA